rnacentral:rRNA from 1 species
GUGAGGAAUAUUGGACAAUGGGCGCAAGCCUGAUCCAGCCAUGCCGCGUGCAGGAAGACGCAUCUAUGGUGUGUAAACUGCUUUUGUACGGGAAGAAACACUCCCUCGUGAGGGAGCUUGACGGUACCGUAAGAAUAAGGAUCGGCUAACUCCGUGCCAGCAGCCGCGGUAAUACGGAGGAUCCAAGCGUUAUCCGGAAUCAUUGGGUUUAAAGGGUCCGUAGGCGGUUUAAUAAGUCAGUGGUGAAAGCCCAUCGCUCAACGAUGGAACGGCCAUUGAUACUGUUAGACUUGAAUUACAAGGAAGUAACUAGAAUAUGUAGUGUAGCGGUGAGAUGCUUAGAUAUUACAUGGAAUACCAAUUGCGAAGGCAGGUUACUACUUGUGGAUUGACGCUGAUGGACGAAAGCGUGGGGAGCGAACAGGAUUAGAUACCCUGGUAGUCC